rnacentral:rRNA from 1 species
UACGUAGGGUCCGAGCGUUGUCCGGAAUUAUUGGGCGUAAAGAGCUCGUAGGCGGUCUGUCGCGUCUGCUGUGAAAACUCGGGGCUUAACCCCGGGCCUGCCGUGGGUACGGGCAGACUAGAGUGCGGUAGGGGAGACUGGAAUUCCUGGUGUAGCGGUGAAAUGCGCAGAUAUCAGGAGGAACACCGGUGGCGAAGGCGGGUCUCUGGGCCGUAACUGACGCUGAGGAGCGAAAGCAUGGGGAGCGAACAGG